rnacentral:tRNA from 1 species
GUUGUUUAGCUCAGUGGCAGAGCACUUGCCUAGCACACAUGAGGGCCUGGGUUCCAUCCUUAGCAACA